rnacentral:rRNA from 1 species
UACGAAGGGGGCUAGCGUUGCUCGGAAUCACUGGGCGUAAAGCGCACGUAUGGCGGCUUUUUAAGUCAGAGGUGAAAUCCUGGAGCUCAACUCCAGAACUGCCUUUGAUACUGGAGUGCUUGAGUCCGGGAGAGGUGAGUGGAACUGCGAGUGUAGAGGUGAAAUUCGUAGAUAUUCGCAAGAACACCAGUGGCGAAGGCGGCUCACUGGCCCGAUACUGACGCUGAGGCACGAAAGCGUGGGGAGCAAACAGG